rnacentral:lncRNA from 10 species
CUACCUUCAAAUGUUCCUACCCCAGCCAUCGCUGACUAUCUGGAUGGAGAACGUGUUUUGGAAAGCAGAGAUGCUGGUUAUGGUGUUUCUAAAAUCAAAAUAGAAACAGGCUGUUGGGAGCCCAACAUCAUCCCAGUCCCGACUCAGGUCCGGUUUCAGAACACAGGGCACAUUUCUCCUAGGCAUAGCUCCUUCCGACUUGGUCCUGCAGCUGGUCUCUGCCUGAAGGUGGCUUUUCUAUCAGACUGAGUAACCCUCCCUGAUUCUGGAACAUUUCUGCACAGCUUAUCUCUUUGAAGGGUGCACAUAGUAGACAUGAGACCAUGAAUUAGGUAUGGCCAAGGACAGGAUUCAUUUCACUGUCUCUGGACCUCACCAUAGGUGACAGCCAUGCUGUGGGAAAUGCCCACUUUGUGCUUAAAAUGAUUUAGCUGAAGGCAAGAGGAGCAUUAAAAUGAUUGAUUUAUCAAGGAAAAGUAAAGAUGCGUGGAAAACGCUUUGAAAAGGGUACCACUAACACAUAUGCACCAAGCAAAAUGGAACAUAAAGGAAUUGAAUAUAGACACACAAAUACAAAGAACAAAGACAAUUCAAAGAAGGGUGCUUUAAGCCCAAUAAUGCUAAAUCUCUGAGUGACCCAUUCAAGAAUCUCUAUCAAUGAGGUUUAAGAAAUUAGAAUUCUCCAUCACAGAAAACAAAGUGGUGUGUGCAGAGGAAGCAUGAAUUUCACACUUGUCUUUAAAUAUAUUAAUGCUGCUAUAAAUAGGUCAUCACCUGCUCCUUUCCAUUUAGAAGAGAACAAGCCAGAGCAGGUUUGAAUUACAGGUUCAAGAGAAUCACAAGCUGAAAUGCCCCAGCAGAACAGAUUUCCAAAGGAAAACUCUGAUGUUUCUUUUCUUCCUGGCAAGUAAAAAAUAAUAAGUAGAUGACUUUAGAGAUCCUGCUUGCCCAUGAGACUGAGCAGAAGUCUCUCCCCAAGUCCUUUUUGUUCCUAAAAGUAGUAAAGAGAGAUAAAAAUGCCAUUCCAGAGAGCAUAGAAGGCUGGUUACAUGUGGAGAGAGUGAGGGUUUCUCCGGACUCCUAUCUAGACUACAGGGAUCAAAAGUUACUCUCUGCUCUAGGUUUGAUAGUACAAGAGCCAGUGUGUGAUCUGUGACUUCAUGGCCUCCUACAUUCUAUUUCUAUUCUUACCUCAUUGAACUCAAUCAGUAGACAGCUACCAUUGAGUGGUGUGGGGGAAUUUUUUUAUUUUUUAAAAACAUGAUGGUAACAAUUCUUCCCAUGCAUAACAUUUGAACACCAUCUGGCUCCGGACAUCCUAAACAAAUUGCCAAAUACCAAGGACAGCUAUUUUAUGCAUGGUGAAAUAUAAGCAAAAUCCACUUCUUUGGUGGUGGACACAUAUAAAUAUAGGCACAUAUUUAUAUUCUAAGCUCAAAAUACAUCACCCAGUGGACACAUUCACAGAUCAACCACUGACUAAAAAAAAAAAAAAAAAAAAAAAAAAAACUCACUGGUGGAUAAUCAAUGCCUCGCACAAAAUCUGCACAUGCAUGUCACAGGCAGUGCAAAAGUUUGAACCACACACUCAGAGAUCAGUAACAGGAAGUUAUCGCCAUCUACAGACUUCCCCUCACUUUUCAAGGGAGCGAGCCAAGGAUUUCUGCUUGAAAAAUAUAAACUGGCAAAACUGACAUCAGCUGUUGAGCUGCAUUAUACUCCUCGUGAUGAAAUCCACUUUAAUAACCUGUCCAAAACCCUAAACACGUUACUUCUUUAGAAACGGGAAAGCAAUCGUCCGUCCCAAACGCUUCUUAACUGUAGUCUCUGAGAUGAAAGAUUGAUUCACAAGUCAACACCACAUCACUUUCCGUCUAUCGGGCUAAAGAGCUAAAUGCAUACAGAUUUAAAGGCAAAGAUGUAUACUUAAUUUUUCUUCUUCAUUUUCCUUGUCAUUAACCACUUUCCCAAGGCAGGCUUUCUGCAGAGUUGAAUAACGCCCAAUCCCAACUAAAAUGCCAACUGUGGGGCCAUGC